rnacentral:snRNA from 1 species
AUCGCUUCUCGGCCUUUUGGCUCAGAUCAAGUGUAGUAUCUGUUCUUAUCAGUUUAAUAUCUGAUACGUCCCCCAUCGGGGGACUACAUAUUAAAUGGAUUUUUCGAACAGGGAGUCGGAAAUGGGGCUUGCUCCGUCCGCUCCACGCAUCGACCCGGUAUUGCAGUACCUCCGGAACGGUGCAACACUU